rnacentral:rRNA from 1 species
GACGAACGCUGGCGGCGUGCCUAAUACAUGCAAGUUGAGCGCUGAAGGUUGGUACUUGUACCAACUGGAUGAGCAGCGAACGGGUGAGUAACGCGUGGGGAAUCUGCCUUUGAGCGGGGGACAACAUUUGGAAACGAAUGCUAAUACCGCAUAAAAACUUUAAACACAAGUUUUAAGUUUGAAAGAUGCAAUUGCAUCACUCAAAGAUGAUCCCGCGUUGUAUUAGCUAGUUGGUGAGGUAAAGGCUCACCAAGGCGAUGAUACAUAGCCGACCUGAGAGGGUGGUCGGCCACAUUGGGACUGAGACACGGCCCAAACUCCUUCGGGAGGCAGCAGUAGGGCAUCUUCGGCAAUGGACGAAAGUCUGACCGAGCAACGCCGCGUGAGUGAAGAAGGUUUUCGGAUCGUAAAACUCUGUUGGUAGGGAAGAACGUUGGUGAGAGUGGAAAGCUCAUCAAGUGACGGUAACUACCCAGAAAGGGACGGCUAACUACGUG